GUGUGUGUGUGUGUGUGUGUGUGUGUGUGUGUGUGUGUGUGUGUGUGUGUGUGUGUGUGUGUGUGUGUGUGUGUGUGUGUGUGUGUGUGUGUCCAGGCAGCCUUCUAGCCGCCUGAACUGUGAUGUCGUAAAUUAGUGAUGUGCCUUUACUCUGCUGAUAUGGUAAAAUGAUCCCUGUUGUGGAUAUAACCUGUUUUGGCCUGAACAGAUGUUGGGAGGAAGCAUGUAUGUUAUCUUUUAUCCUCUGUGGAGUUGGUCAAGAUGCUAUAAACAUAUAAAUAAGACAUCUUGUCCAGCUAAUACUGGAGAUGACCAUUUGAUCCUGGGUAGAAGAAAAGGGAGGAGUAACCACACGUCUCCCUCUGCUGACCAGCUGGAGAUGACCAUUAAGACUGGGAGAAGAAAAUGUGACAUCAUGACAUCCAAGAUUUAUGGUCUCUUCGGUGCCAUAGCCUUUUUCAAUCCGGCUUUUGAGAGUUUUUAGGAGAGUUGGCCUUUGAUGGGAAGAGUGUGUGAGGUACAGAGAAGGAAGCUUUUGAUUUGAGCUUUUUGUCUAUGAUAAUCUGACCUAGUGUCAUUUUUGGAGAGCUUAUUCAGCUCAACUCUGCUAUAACUUGGUUUAUUGGCAAAGAGUUGUUUCACUUUUUAACCCACUUUGUCUGUGUCACGGUCUGCCUCCAUCUGCUGUGAGUUUGGUCAGCGCUGUGUUCACAGGUGGGCGUGGGACUCAUCACAGCUGUGUGGAGUUCCACUAAUCGGAGCUUCAAGGAUUUAAGGAGCGGUGUGACUCAACUCCAGCGCCGGUUGAUACUCUCAUAUGGUUUCCUGUCCUGUACCACCUACCUUGUCUGGAGUUGUCUCUCGUCUCACCGCUUAAGGAUCCUCUGGUCUUCGCUCUCCUCGCCUGCCUGCCUGUCCACACUCAGCACCGUCCUCACCGCUCCAGCCUCUCCCAGUUCGCCUCCGCACAACUCCUGGUCUCAGACCAUUCUGGUCCCGUCCCGUUCCUGUGUUUCAGACGCAGCGCCUUAAGUUCUAGUUUUUGUUCCUUUAUUCCUGUUUUAAAAUAAAACACUUAUAUUUUA